AGCCACAUAUUUGUUAACUUAUUGUUAUCCAUUAGUACUUUUUUAUCAAUUAAAAAAAAGCAACGACACAUUCAACGCUUUGGUGCUUAUUUAAAAGAAAAAAGAACUUUAUAAACCCAAUUCCAAAUUCCUUGUCAAUUUCCGAAGGGUAAGGUUAUCUCUACGCUCUACGAUUUCGCUUCAUUUGUUUGAAUCUCUCCUUCAUCACAAUAUAGGUAUUCUAUUUUUUAUUAAUUUUUUUUUUGCUUGGGUAUGAUUGGCUCAUGCUAUUCCCUUAUUUGGAUUUUAGGGUAUGUAAACUGCUUUUUUAAAUUUUUGGUUAAGAAAAAAAAAUCAACUAUUUUUAUUGAUCACUGCCACUUAAAGUUUCAAUCCAUCAAAGUUAAGGGUCUAUUUGGUAUCCUUUUCUAUGCCAUAUUUUCAUUUUCAUUUUUAGAUUCUAGAUGUAAUAUUCGUUCGAUGGAUUUGAAUAAAAAAAACAAAUUAUAAAACGCAUAAAACAGAUUCAGCUUUAUAGAAAUAAAUUGAGUAACAUGUUAUAUACAUUUUGGGUGAAUUACAAAACAAAUUUUGAAAUAAAUUAUAAAAGAAAUUUUAAGCAUUCCCCAAGAAACUUCCACUUCUUCUCUCUCCUAAAACAAAACCUUAUCACUAAAUCGAUCUAUUCUUCUCUCUCCAUUAGAUCUAAACUCAAAACUCUCGUUCAUGGCUUUUACUGCUCUUCUUCAACAAAUAUUCACCAUCACUAAAUAUUGAAUAAGAUCGUUGUUGCUGCUCUCUCUCUCUCUCUCUGGGUUGCUGCUACUGCGCCCUCUCUCUCUCUCUUCCACUGCUGUUAUUCUAUCCCUGCCUCUCUUGUUGUUCUAUCUCUGCUCCUGCUGCUUUCUAUCGGCUGCUGGCGCCAUUGCUUUGCUACUGUCGCUCUCUCUGCCAUUGCUACUAUAUUUCUACUGCUGCUGUUACAACUUUGUAAUUCAUAAUGUUUAUCAUGUAAUUCGAUAGUUAUUUUAUUUAAACUGUUGUAAUAUUAUCUUAAUUAUAGUUUAAGAAAACGGCAGUGCAAAACUACUUCUUAGUAAUGGUAAUACUAAGUUACUUAUGGUACGCUUGUUUAUGUA
rnacentral:lncRNA from 1 species